rnacentral:rRNA from 1 species
UACGAAGGGGGCUAGCGUUGCUCGGAAUCACUGGGCGUAAAGCGCACGUAGGCGGAUCUUUAAGUCAGGGGUGAAAUCCCGGAGCUCAACUCCGGAACUGCCUUUGAUACUGAGGGUCUUGAGUCCGGGAGAGGUGAGUGGAACUGCGAGUGUAGAGGUGAAAUUCGUAGAUAUCCGCAAGAACACCAGUGGCGAAGGCGGCUCACUGGCCCGGUACUGACGCUGAGGUGCGAAAGCAUGGGGAGCAAACAGG